rnacentral:rRNA from 1 species
AUUGAACGCUGGCGGCAGGCCUAACACAUGCAAGUCGAGCGGAUGAAGGGAGCUUGCUCCAGGAUUCAGCGGCGGACGGGUGAGUAAUGCCUAGGAAUCUGCCUGGUAGUGGGGGAUAACGUCCGGAAACGGGCGCUAAUACCGCAUACGUCCUGAGGGAGAAAGUGGGGGAUCUUCGGACCUCACGCUAUCAGAUGAGCCUAGGUCGGAUUAGCUAGUUGGUGGGGUAAAGGCCUACCAAGGCGACGAUCCGUAACUGGUCUGAGAGGAUGAUCAGUCACACUGGAACUGAGACACGGUCCAGACUCCUACGGGAGGCAGCAGUGGGGAAUAUUGGACAAUGGGCGAAAGCCUGAUCCAGCCAUGCCGCGUGUGUGAAGAAGGUCUUCGGAUUGUAAUGCACUUUAAGUUGGGAGGAAGGGCAGUAAGUUAAUACCUUGCUGUUUUGACGUUACCAACAGAAUAAGCACCGGCUAACUUCGUG